CCUACGGGUCGCAGCAGUAGGGAAUCUUACACAAUGGGCGAAAGCCUGAUGGAGCAACGCCGCGUGGGUGAAGAAGGUCUUCGGAUAGUAAAACCCUGUUGUUAGAGAAGAAAGUGCGUGAGAGUAACUGUUCACGUUUCGACGGUAUCUAACCAGAAAGCCACGGCUAACUACGUGCCAGCAGCCGCGGUAAUAAGUAGGUGGCAAGCGUUAUACGGAUUUAUUGGGCGUAAAGGGAACGCAGGCGGUCUUUUAAGUCUGAUGUGAAAGUCUUCGGCUUAACCGGAGUAGUGCAUUGGAAACUGGGAGACUUGAGUGCAGGAGAGGAGAGUGGAACUCCAUGUGUAGCGGUGAAAUGCGUAGAUAUAUGGAAGAACACCAGUGGCGAAGGCGGCUCUCUGGUCUGUAACUGACGCUGAGGUUCGAAAGCGUGGGUAGCAAACAGGAUUAGAUACCCGAGUAGUC
rnacentral:rRNA from 1 species